AUGCGUCCACUGGCCUGCCAAUUGGCUGAAGAAGCUGGCCUGUCAUACUAUCAGGCGAGUUAUGAUGUCAACAACAAACGAGUUGCUGCACCAACUCCUGAGGCUCAAAACCUCAUUCCGCCAAUCCGUAAGCACACCUACGCCCCUGACAUUGAACCGUCCAUCCUUAUAAGCAAUGAAGCUGUAUUCCAAGCCCUAACUAGGAUCGACUGGGCAACCAUUGACUUCCAGCCACUUGGUAGAGAUGAGGAGGAUGAACCGGUGCAAGAUGAUCCGCAGCCGUCAAGUCAACCUGGUGACGAAUCAUGA
rnacentral:rRNA from 1 species